UACGGGGGGGGCGAGCGUUAUUCGGAAUUACUGGGCGUAAAGUGUGCGCAGGCGGCCGAGCAAGUCGAGUGUGAAAGCCCCGAGCUUAACUUGGGAACUGCGCUCGAAACUACUUGGCUAGAGUGUGGCAGAGGGAGGUGGAAUUCCACGUGUAGCGGUGAAAUGCGUAGAGAUGUGGAGGAACACCAGUGGCGAAGGCGGCUUUCUGGUCUGUAACUGACGCUGAGGCGCGAAAGCGUGGGGAGCAAACAGG
rnacentral:rRNA from 1 species